UACAGAGGGUGCGAGCGUUAAUCGGAAUUACUGGGCGUAAAGCGCGCGUAGGCGGCUUUGCAAGUCGGGUGUGAAAUCCCCAGGCUUAACCUGGGAACUGCAUUCGAGACUGCAUUGCUAGAGUAUGGGAGAGGAAAGUGGAAUUUCCGGUGUAGCGGUGAAAUGCGUAGAUAUCGGAAGGAACAUCAGUGGCGAAAGCGACUUCCUGGACCAAUACUGACGCUCAUGUGCGAAAGCGUGGGGAGCAAACAGG
rnacentral:rRNA from 1 species